GACGAACGCUGGCGGCGUGCUUAACACAUGCAAGUCGAACGGUAAGGCCCUUCGGGGUACACGAGUGGCGAACGGGUGAGUAACACGUGGGUGAUCUGCCCUGCACUUCGGGAUAAGCCUGGGAAACUGGGUCUAAUACCGGAUAGGACCACUGCCUGCAUGGGUGGUGGUGGAAAGCUUUUGCGGUGUGGGAUGGGCCCGCGGCCUAUCAGCUUGUUGGUGGGGUGAUGGCCUACCAAGGCGACGACGGGUAGCCGGCCUGAGAGGGUGACCGGGCACAGUGUGACGGAGAGACGGCCCAGACUCCUACGGGAGGCAGCAGGGGGGAAUAUUGCACAAGGGGCGCAAGCCUGAUGCAGCGACGCCGCGUGAGGGAUGACGGCCUUCGGGUUGUAAACCUCUUUCAGCACCGACGAAGCGCAAGUGACGGUAGGUGCAGAAGAAGGACCGGCCAACUACGUGCCAGCAGCCGCCGCCGUAA
rnacentral:rRNA from 1 species